UACGUAGGGGGCUAGCGUUGUCCGGAAUCAUUGGGCGUAAAGAGCGUGUAGGCGGUCCGGUAAGUCCGCUGUGAAAGUCGGGGGCUCAACCCUCGAAUGCCGGUGGAUACUGUCGGGCUAGAGUGCGGAAGAGGCGAGUGGAAUUCCUGGUGUAGCGGUGAAAUGCGCAGAUAUCAGGAUGAACACCGGUGGCGAAGGCGGGUCUCUGGGCCGUAACUGACGCUGAGGAGCGAAAGCGUGGGGAGCGAACAGG
rnacentral:rRNA from 1 species